rnacentral:rRNA from 1 species
UGUAAGACUGGGAUAACUCCGGGAAACCGGAGCUAAUACCGGAUAGUUCCUUGAACUGCAUGGUUCAAGGAUGAAAGACGGUUUCGGCUGUCACUUACAGAUGGACCCGCGGCGCAUUAGCUAGUUGGUGAGGUAACGGCUCACCAAGGCGACGAUGCGUAGCCGACCUGAGAGGGUGAUCGGCCACACUGGGACUGAGACACGGCCCAGACUCCUACGGGAGGCAGCAGUAGGGAAUCUUCCGCAAUGGACGAAAGUCUGACGGAGCAACGCCGCGUGAGUGAUGAAGGUUUUCGGAUCGUAAAGCUCUGUUGUUAGGGAAGAACAAGUGCAAGAGUAACUGCUUGCGCCUUGACGGUACCUAACCAGAAAGCCACGGCUAACUACGUGCCAGCAGCCGCGGUAAUACGUAGGUGGCAAGCGUUGUCCGGAAUUAUUGGGCGUAAAGGGCUCGCAGGCGGUUUCUUAAGUCUGAUGUGAAAGCCCCCGGCUCAACCGGGGAGGGUCAUUGGAAACUGGGAAACUUGAGUGCAGAAGAGGAGAGUGGAAUUCCACGUGUAGCGGUGAAAUGCGUAGAGAUGUGGAGGAACACCAGUGGCGAAGGCGACUCUCUGGUCU